rnacentral:piRNA from 1 species
AAGCCAGAGCUCUGAGGAAUGUCAC